AGAGUUUGAUCCUGGCUCNNNNNGNNNGCUGGCGGCAUGCCUUACACAUGCAAGUCGAACGGUAACGCGGGGCAACCUGGCGACGAGUGGCGAACGGGUGAGUAAUGCAUCGGAACGUACCCAGUAGUGGGGGAUAGCCCGGCGAAAGCCGGAUUAAUACCGCAUACGACCUACGGGUGAAAGCGGGGGACUCGCAAGAGCCUCGCGCUAUUGGAGCGGCCGAUGUCAGAUUAGGUUGUUGGUGGGGUAAAAGCCUACCAAGCCGACGACCUGUAGCUGGUCUGAGAGGACGACCAGCCACACUGGGACUGAGACACGGCCCAGACUCCUACGGGAGGCAGCAGUGGGGAAUUUUGGACAAUGGGCGCAAGCCUGAUCCAGCCAUGCCGCGUGCGGGAAGAAGGCCUUCGGGUUGUAAACCGCUUUUGUCAGGGAAGAAACGCUCUGGGCUAAUACCCUGGGGUAAUGACGGUACCUGAAGAAUAAGCACCGGCUAACUACGUGCCAGCAGCCGCGGUAAUAC
rnacentral:rRNA from 1 species